AAGCGUGCGGCCAGUAGAACGUCGGCAAUUGCCCUGGCGUCUUCUACCGCACGAUUAUCAACCUUCCCUUAACAGGGCGGGCAACCUUUUCAAAAUACCGGUUUGAUGUUAAAGUAUAGAGUCGUUUUUUAUGGAUGGUGGUUUACGAACCAAUACCAUCCGCAACUGCUCGCGAGUUUGUGGUUCUGGUGACUCAUGGUGGGGACCGAUGUUUGUAAUUGUUUGUCGCGUGUCAACUAGGAAUGCCUUGUACUGUCGAUUCACUAAGUUAUUGGGAAUACGUCCCUGCCCUUUGUACACACCGCCCGUCGCUCUUAC
rnacentral:rRNA from 1 species